UCCUCCUCCUUUCCUUUUAAUCGCUUCUCUAAGCCGCAGAAAACCCUAGCUCUCUUCAUCCCAGCCCCGCCGCCACUUGCUUUACCCUCGUCCACCAAAAUAGAGCAGGCAGAAAGAGGUUCAGUUCGAAAUUCAGAACACCGAGCAGAACAUCACCUCGUCGCCAUGGAGCCGCCUCUCCAGACUGCCCCUCAUCGAGCAGAAGGCACCAGGAUCUCCGCGUCGUCGUCCUCUCCAUCUCUUUGCGAGGAAUCGAGAUGGGACUCAGUAAUUCGAGCGCAAGGUCGCCGAUCCCCCGCGCCGGUCACCAUGCUUCUUCUUUGUUUCAGGCCGCCUCCAUCCUUCCCCGGCCAAUCCGAGCCCUCCAUCGCGAUCAUGAAGUUCCUCGCUGGCUACUCUCCGUUGAACCCUGGUCCCAGCGCCUACUCCACCACUUCCGUCCAGCCGGGGCGCACGCCGGGCGCCCUCUUCUUCCUCACCGUCCGCCCUCCAUCGUCAGGGCCAUGCUCGAUGCCAUCUUCUCCGAGCCCUGCUUCCCCGCUGUUAUGCAUCUCCGUCAGAUAGAGGUGUCUCAGACAGUUAAGUCAUCCAACAUCUGUAGCGUCUGUACCUACUCAACAUCUGAAUUUCAGACCAACUGUUUUCCUUUGGUUGGUUCAGCUGUGAGCUCCUUUGUUCAGAUCCCCACAUCGGCCAAUUAAAUCCAUCAUCUUUCACUUUGUUUGUUCAGAUCCCACACGCCUGGAGUUCUUUUCUACGCACGAGCCAAACAAAAUCAGCUUUGCCAAAGCAGCUAGUGGCUACGGCCUUCUCUUCCCUGUGGUAUCAGGAUCAGCUCUCAGUGUAUGUGCUGCUUCUUGUCGGUGCUUCAGGCCAGGUUCCGGUCCAGUUUCGUUGCUCCUCUCCAACAGCGCUGCAGGUCCAACAUCAGCCUAUUCUUAUCACUUAUCACUGUUAUAUCUAUAUCUAUAUCUAUAUCUAUAUCUAUACCUAAUAAUAAAGGAACUAACGUUUCCGUGGUUUGGUCCGUUUGAUUGCUUUGGUCCGCCGUUUCCUUCGUCCGUCCUUCUACGUCUUGGUGUCCUGGUUCUAUACGUGCGUGCUAUCUUGUGAUUUCCUACAUCCCGAGGAAGGUUUCCUUCCUGACUAAGUAUCCGGAUCCCGGCCUGAACCGACUCUCUCUUCUUACCUUCCUAAGCCUUUAAAUAUGAAAUAUGAGAUCGAUCGAAGCUUGAUCGAAAUCGAUCUCGAGCUACCGAUUUGACGAGAUAUCAACAAUGAAAUACAUGGCGACAAGGGAUGUCGACGAGGCUAUAGGCGAGAUAGCGCUCCGGCGGCAAGGGCUUCGAGAUCAGGCACUAGGCGGUGGAUGUCUCGCAGACCAUCGAGCACAUGAUCGAGGUUGAUUGCAUCGAGAACGGCAGACGGCGUCCCACUGGCAGUACCAAUGUCAAAUACCCGAUCCUCGCAAGCUCAUCGAGUACUGUAACAUGCACGCCGUCGCCGGAGAAACCAGCUCCGCCGACACCACCAAAUCCGGCAGGCAGGAUCCUGAAGAGAUUUGAUCAAAGUGGCCAACGAGCCAUCAUAUAGGAUCGAGAUUGGUCAUGGCCAGCGGUGGCCACACUCAAGCGGGCAAUCACAUCCUGCUGGCGAGGGUGAUCACAUCUGCUUGCGAGACAGCCACGGAAAAGACGGGACCGACGCACAGGACGGUGGUAGUCCGAGGCAGGCACUAGCUCGACAUCCCCGGCGACACCAGACGGCGGAAGCUCAGCGAUGACAAGACUGUCAGAUCGUGCAACUUCGACGAUGACGGUUUCACCUGCUGCGUGCCGCUUCGACACGAGCCCAACAACAGCAGGAGGCUUGAACUGAUGUCAGUCCCAUUAGAGCCUUGCUCUCGCGUCAUGCCCGAGACGACCUGGUACCGGCGGUGGGUUGUGAGCAGGAUGGCAGUGGUGUCGGCACCGAGAGCCUAGCAUCCUCUCGUGGGGUGCACAUAGACCGAGGCGAGCUGGGCUAUUACGAGGGGAGCGAUUUCAGAGAACCAGCGAUGAACGUAUUCAGGAAAUCAGGCCAUACGAGGUUGAGUCAGCUCAACCGGGGAUUCUGCAUAUUCAAUUUAAUAUACGGCCAAGGGGAUGUUCAUGGAGAGAGUGGAAUUCAAUAUUGAGGUCUUAAAAUGGGGGAUAAAUACAUCCCCGUGUGAUUCCUGCGCUGGUGUAACUCGGAUUUUCAUGGUACUGAACAUAUAGAAAGGAAUUAUCAGGAUUGGAGUUAUAGUUUCCGGUUUACACAGCGCUUUGGGCUAAGGUUUGUCUCCAUUGUACUGUCCGAUUAUGUAUUAGGAGGUUUCCUUGUAAAUUUUGUUCAGACCUUGCUCUGUUCCACAGUGAUUAAUAGCUAUAUGCUGGCUGUAUUGAUGAUUGCCGAUAUAGCACAUCCUAAAUUCAGAACUUCAGAUAAUAUUAGUGGCAAUGCUAGAUUGCAUGUCAGUUCCAAAAUUUACCUGCCUGCACUUCUGACUGGUUAUUUUGUUUUGCCUUUCGCACGACUAACUUUUGGCUAUAAGUAAUUUCAUCGUGAAUUAUCAACCUUCUCGCUCAAUGAAUUGCUUUGCAGCUUCAUUCGUCGCAUAACUUAUAUGUUAUUACUACUCCAUCAUCAGUGUGAUUAGCAAAAUAUGUUCUGCAAAAUGUGCCUCGCUAUGCAUUACUAUGA